GGAAUAUUGGACAAUGGGGGGAACCCUGAUCCAGCCAUGCCGCGUGUGUGAAGAAGGCCUUUUGGUUGUAAAGCACUUUAAGCGAGGAGGAGGCUACUUUGGUUAAUACCCAGAGAUAGUGGACGUUACUCGCAGAAUAAGCACCGGCUAACUCUGUGCCAGCAGCCGCGGUAAUACAGAGGGUGCGAGCGUUAAUCGGAUUUACUGGGCGUAAAGCGUACGUAGGUGGUCUUUUAAGUCGGAUGUGAAAUCCCUGAGCUUAACUUAGGAAUUGCAUUCGAUACUGGGAGACUAGAGUAUGGGAGAGGAUGAUAGAAUUCCAGGUGUAGCGGUGAAAUGCGUAGAGAUCUGGAGGAAUACCGGUGGCGAAGGCGGCCCCCUGGACAAAGACUGACGCUCAGGUGCGAAAGCGUGGGGAGCAAACAGGAUUAGAUACCCCUG
rnacentral:rRNA from 1 species